UACAGAGGUCUCAACCGUUGUUCGGAUUCAUUGGGCGUAAAGGGUGCGUAGGCGGUCGGGUAAGUCGGCUGUGAAAUCUCAGGGCUCAACCCUGAAACUGCAUUCGAUACUGCUUGGCUAGGGUACUGGAGAGGAGACUGGAAUUUACGGUGUAGCAGUGAAAUGCGUAGAUAUCGUAAGGAAGACCAGUGGCGAAGGCGAGUCUCUGGACAGUUACCGACGCUGAGGCACGAAGGUCAGGGGAGCAAACGGG
rnacentral:rRNA from 1 species